AUUGAACGCUGGCGGCAGGCCUAACACAUGCAAGUCGAGCGGCAGCGGAAAGUAGCUUGCUACUUUGCCGGCGAGCGGCGGACGGGUGAGUAAUGUCUGGGAAACUGCCUGAUGGAGGGGGAUAACUACUGGAAACGGUAGCUAAUACCGCAUGACCUCGAAAGAGCAAAGUGGGGGAUCUUCGGACCUCACGCCAUUGGAUGUGCCCAGAUGGGAUUAGCUAGUAGGUGAGGUAAUGGCUCACCUAGGCGACGAUCCCUAGCUGGUCUGAGAGGAUGACCAGCCACACUGGAACUGAGGCACGGCCCAGACUCCUACGGGAGGCAGCAGUGGGGAAUAUUGCACAAUGGGCGCAAGCCUGAUGCAGCCAUGCCGCGUGUGUGAAGAAGGCCUUAGGGUUGUAAAGCACUUUCAGCGAGGAGGAAGGCAUCAUACUUAAUACGUGUGGUGAUUGACGUUACUCGCAGAAGAAGCACCGGCUAACUCCGUGCCAGCAGCCGCGGUAAUACGGAGGGUGCAAGCGUUAAUCGGAAUUACUGGGCGUAAAGCGCACGCAGGCGGUUUGUUAAGUCAGAUGUGGAAUCCCCGCGCUUAACGUGGGAACUGCAUUUGAAACUGGCAAGCUGGAGUCUUGUAGAGGGGGGUAGAAUUCCAGGUGUAGCGGUGAAAAUGCGUAGAGAUCUGGAGGAAUACCGGUGGCGAAGGCGGCCCCCCUGGACAAAGACUGACGCUCAGGUGCGAAGCGUGGGGAACAAACAGG
rnacentral:rRNA from 1 species